UCUCCGCCCAUCUCCGCCCAUGUGCAGCCAAUCCAAAGGUGGACCCUCCUCGUUGUGAAAUUCAUGGUGUAUACUAUGAGGUUAUUCCGCGUUGUCCUCAUGAUGGUCUACCUGAAAUCGUAUUUCACGGGACUUUAAGUGGAAAAAUUCAUGCGUCGCUAUUCAUGGGGUUAGGGUCCUUAGCAUAUAGAAUGAACCACCAACACCUAAAUUUCAGGGUUAAAACAAACCUAAAACGUAGGUGGUUGCUAUCAAAACGGCGCCUCACUAGAUAGAACCUAUAUUCUAGUUUAACUCUUGGCACAAUAAAUAACGGGCUAUGACUCAGUAGGUUACGCAAUGUCCUUUUACAAUUCAAAUAUGAUAUUAUACAACCAAUCAUUACAUUAAUGACAAUGUAACAAUAUAAAAAUAUACUUAGUUUUCAUCAUGUUUCGAAGCCCAUAAGAAGAAGUCCAACUUCUUUGGAAAGUUGUUCCCAUGAAUUUUGUAAUAGAGGUCUGCGAACAACUUAGAAUCUCUCAAAAUGACACGAAUAGAGUGAGGUAGACCGAGACAUCUCAAUAGUGUCCUCUCGUUCCUCAUCCAUACCCCAUGAAGAGUAAUAUUUAGGUGAUCUUUUUAUAAAACCUCAAAACAUGGAGCAUGUCACUAAUAAUAUCGCUGCAACAUUAAAAAAUGAAUACGAAUAAAUAAAAAUGAAAAACAACAUACUGCAGUAAAAUAAAUGAAUAUGAAUAAAAAGAAUUGCAAAUUAUUAUACUUGUAUAUCGUACGCAGCUCUGGGACGAUGUGUUGGCUAUUUGGAUCUAUCAACUCAUGUGUAUUAUCCACUCAACAUUCGAGGCAGCAGUCUUUUGACGUGAAAGAGAAAAGCAUAUUGCAAUCGUGAAACCUUUGGAUGAGAUUAACGGGCAGCACGUAACAGAAGUCACAUAGCGACGAUAACAAACACCAUUCAUGGUGUAUACAUUGUUUUCAUAACGCUGAUACAGUUGUAGAUGAAUGGUGUUUGUUAUUGUCGCUUUUUGACUCCCGUUACAUGGUGCCCGUUAAUCUCUUCCAAAGGUUUUUCGAUUGCAGUACACUUGUCCCCUUCGAAUCAAUAGACUGCUGCUUUGGAUAUUGGGUGGAUAAUACAUAUGAGUUGAUGGAUCCAUAUACCCAAUAUAUCGUCCUGGAGCUGCGUACGAUAUACAGGUAUAAUAAUUUGCAUUUCUUUUUAUUCGCAUUCAUUUAUUUUACUGUAGUAUGUUGUUUUUUAUUUUUAUUUAUUCGUAUUCAUUUUUUAAUGUUGCAAUGAUAUUAUUAGUGUUAUGCUCCAUGUUUUGAGGUUUUAUAAAAAGAUCACCUAAAUAUUACUCUUCAUGGGGUAUGGACGUGAGGACACUAUUGGGAUGUCCCGGUCUGCCUCACUCUGCUCGUGUCAUUUUGGGAGAUGAUAAGAUGUUCACGAACCUCUGUUACAAAAUCCAUGGGAACAACUUUCCAAAAGAGUUGGACUUCUUCUUAUGGGUUUUGAAAUAUGAUGAGAACUAAGUAUAUUUUUAUAUUGUCAUUAAUGUUAUGGUUGGUUGUAUAAUAUCAUAUUUGAGUUGUAACAGGACAUUGCGUGGCCUACUGAGUCAUAGCCCGCUAUUCAUGGUGCUAAGAGUAAAACUGGAGUAUAUGUUCUAUCUAGUGAGGCGCCUCUUUGAUAGCAACCACCUAGGUUGGAGGUUUGUUUUUAACCUGGCGUUGGUGGUUCAUUCUAUAUGAUAAGGAUCCUAGUUACAAAGCGGGAACUGAGCAAGUACGAAAAUUGGUGUCCAGUUGCAUUUCUCAUGUGGCAGAAAUGCUGGGGAGCACAAUUCUUUGAGGCUGUGUAUGACCUCAUACUUAGCGAAGUGUGGCUUGAUCAUUUGGAUAUGGUCAGCUACCUAGUUUCUUCCCUAACUGCAUAUUCAACAAAAUCGACGCAUAAUUGCAGGUUCAAUAUCAUACAAGCCAGAUCAAACAUCUGAUAAUCUUAUAUUGGAACCAUGUGUCGUUUCCUGCACUACUUUUGCUUGAAGAGUUCCAAAGUUGAUAGACAUAGACUUGGGUAUGAAGACCCUACUAUUCUUGCGUCAGAAACUGCUUGAAGAAUUCCAACUUGCACUAUUUUAAAGCAGCGGUAAACAGAAUCUUUUUUGCGGACAGAAUGUUUGACUUGUUUGACAUCAAGCGUAAAUUUGGAGAGUUUGUUCGGUCAUUAAGUAUUUUUCAUCCAAAUGCUUCCAAAGCAGAAAAAAUAUAAUGUAUUAUGUCAUGAAUGAAGAUCAUGAUUUCCUUCUCUUUGUGCUAUUGUGAUUCUCCCAUACUCAUUAUAUGUAGGCCAAUAUCGAGAGAUGUUCUCAUA